UCAGCCGGCGCGGCUGAGUGUCCCGUGCCGCCUGCAGCCCCGCGGGCGGCGGGCAGGUGCUCCCGCGGAGCGGUGAUUGGGAAGGGAGCGCUCCGGAGACACGGCCCGGCAACGCACCGGAGGGAAGAUGAGGGGAAAACAGCUCAAGUGCGGGGAAGAAGAAUUGCCCAUCACAAGUAGACCUUUCUGCAGCCCUUUGAAGACUGCUCGAAGUACAAAUGACUAUACUUCUCUUACCCUGCAGUGUCAACUAAAUCCCAAAACGCAGUUGGCUAACCAGGACCCUGUACUUCUCAGGUAACAUCUGAUGCCAUGUCAGGCAACAGGAGUGUCAUUCAAAGAGUGAUGUCCAUGAGGUGCUGCACAGACCCUCAGUCCCUUGCAGCUGGACUGCAUGCUGCAUGUGCACAAAAUUAGCAGCUUGAAACUUUCAGGUCUGUCUUUCCCCAUGGCAGUAGGGAAGAUACAGUUUUCAGAAGGUGAGAGGAAUUAGCCUGACCAUCCUGGCCAUUUUUGUGUAGCACUGCAUCUGGUGGGAAUUAGGAGUCUUGAAACUUUAAAAUAAGAAGGGGAGAAAACCCUCCCUGACAUAAACUGUGAUGUGAUAAUGUGACUGAGUACUCUUAGACUGCUGCCAUAUUCCAGUGACUGCUUUUCCAUAAAAACAGAAAUUAUUUCAUUUUAAAAAGUCAGUUACGUGCUUUGGGUUUCUUCUUGGUUAAGAUUAUAGAAAGAGCACAAAAUCCUGCAUAGACCAAGCUUUUUAUUUGACAACACUAUACCUUUAAUUUUAACACAUAAGAAAAGUAAGUAAAAUCUCUCUUGUCUAGUUGGGAAUAAAAAAAGAAUGCAAGAAGUUACAUUAACAGUGUUAACAUUAACAAUUAACAAUGUUUCACAACUGCAGUGAAAACAAAACAGUUGAUCUCUUAUCUGAACUGUACAUAAGGAUGUUUCUAAUUACAGUUGUUGAUGGCCAACUACUGCAAUGUACAUGUCUAGCCACCCUCAAUAUAGAGAGGCAAAGACUCUCCAUCAUGGUUUGUGUUUAUUACCUUAGCUUCAGACAUUGCUGUAAAAUCAUAUUUUAUAACUUUGUUGCUUGCAUGCCAAGACAUUCUGCACCAUUACAAUUAUAUCAGAAGCUGUUGCUCAUACAGCAAGAUUUCACUUUUUCCCCUUUCCUAAAGUAUUGUUCAGGUUGAAUAUCUUUGAGUAUCUUUGGUUUCUAUACUGAAAUAAAUAUGCAAUAUAAUAAAAUUUCCUUUUUCUCUACACUCUGGAUCCAGUCUCCAGGAAAACUGUGUACUUAAAUGGUUUUGCAUAGCAAUAAAACUCUUUCCUAAGCCCCCA